GGGCAUGUGGUGUAGUUGGUUAUCACGCUCGCUUAGCAUAAGCCCAUUGUGCAAGUAUGCGAGAGGGGUCCGGUUCAAUCCCGGACAUGUCCA